CACCAGCUAAACGCUUUCAGCUGUAAUUGACAACGAUAUCAACAGUAGACAGCCGUGAAGGUAGUCGAAAAUUUACAACUUUCGCAGCAUUUUUAUCCCCAUUUCACAACCUCGCAAUGCAUCGGUCUUACCAGUCGAUCUUACCGUGCCAGAGCAGGAUAUUACAGCAGAGAUGGGACCGCAAAUAUUACGAUGAACAUCGAGUAAAGGUGAAAGAAGCCCAGUCAAUGGUUGACACAAAAGCACCAAAAACCUAUGUUCAUCUUCAUUUAAAACUCAAAAAAUUACAACUGGAAGAAGAGAGGCUUGCUGUAGUGAGCGG